rnacentral:ncRNA from 1 species
AAAAUAGUAGUAGUAGUAGUAGUAGUAGUAGUAGUACUACUACUACUACUACUACUACUACUUAAAAACCCAAACCAACAAAAACUAAUGCUUUGGAGUGCACUCACUGAGAAGUUUGAUACAUUUUUCUGAAGAAAUCAAAGUGUUCAAAGCUGGCUGGCCAACAGCGCACUCCAGCCAGGAAUAACAGAAUAGGACUCCGGCUCUUUUUUUGUUGUUUUUUGGAAGCAAGGCCAUAAUUAAGAGCAAUGGCUGGGGGCAUUCAUAUUGUGCCACUUGAACUGGAAUUCUUGGGCCAGUGCAAGAUGAACUAAAGCAAAAGCAUUUGCCAAGAACGUUUCCAUUAAUCAAGAACAAAAGCUGGAAGCUUGUGGCCAGCUCACUGUCCGGUGGUGUUACUCCCAUCACCCGCCAGGCAGCUCUCAGGACACUCAAGUCUUUGGGUU